AUUGAACGCUGGCGGCAGGCCUAACACAUGCAAGUCGAGCGGAGCGGCGGACGGGUGAGUAAUACCUAGGAAUCUGCCUGGUAGUGGGGGAUAACGUUCGGAAACGGACGCUAAUACCGCAUACUAUCAGAUGAGCCUAGGUCGGAUUAGCUAGUUGGUGAGGUAAUGGCUCACCAAGGCUACGAUCCGUAACUGGUCUGAGAGGAUGAUCAGUCACACUGGAACGGAGGAACCGGCCAGGCUCCGUCGGGGGGGAGGAGGGGGGAAAAUUGGACAAUGGGCCGAAGCCUGAAGCAAGGACGCCGGGUGGGGGAUGAAGGGCUUCGGGUUGGAAACUCCUUUCGACAGGGACGCGGUACCUGUAUAAGAAGCACCGGCUAACUACGUGCCAGCAGCCGCGGUAAAC
rnacentral:rRNA from 1 species